GGGGUUAUAGCUCAGCUGGGAGAGCGCCUGCCUUGCACGCAGGAGGUCUGCGGUUCGAUCCGCAUAGCUCCACCA
rnacentral:tRNA from 1 species